UUGGGUUAAGUCCCGCAACGAGCGCAACCCUUGAUCUUAGUUGCCAGCAUUCAGUUGGGCACUCUAAGGUGACUGCCGGUGACAAACCGGAGGAAGGUGGGGAUGACGUCAAAUCAUCAUGCCCCUUAUGACCUGGGCUACACACGUGCUACAAUGGAUGGUACAAAGGGCUGCGAGACCGCGAGGUUUAGCCAAUCCCAUAAAACCAUUCUCAGUUCGGAUUGCAGGCUGCAACUCGCCUGCAUGAAGCUGGAAUCGCUAGUAAUCGCGGAUCAGCAUGCCGCGGUGAAUACGUUCCCGGGCCUUGUACACACCGCCCGUCACACCACGAGAGUUUGCAACACCCGAAGUCGGUGGGGUAACCGCAAGGAGCCAGCCGCCUAAGGUGGGGUAGAUGAUUGGGGUGAAGUCGUAACAAGGUAACCAAGCCGAAUUC
rnacentral:rRNA from 1 species